UACGUAGGGGGCAAGCGUUGUCCGGAAUUAUUGGGCGUAAAGAGCGCGUAGGCGGUCUGAUAAGUCGGUUGUGAAAGUCGGGGGGCUCAACCCUCGGAUGCCGGUGGAUACUGUCGGGCUCGAGUCCGGAAGAGGCGAGUGGAAUUCCUGGUGUAGCGGUGAAAUGCGCAGAUAUCAGGAGGAACACCGAUGGCGAAGGCAGCUCGCUGGGACGUGACUGACGCUAAGACGCGAAAGCGUGGGGAGCGAACAGG
rnacentral:rRNA from 1 species